rnacentral:rRNA from 1 species
UACGAAGGGGGCUAGCGUUGUUCGGAAUCACUGGGCGUAAAGGGCGCGUAGGCGGCUUUAUAAGUCGGGGGUGAAAGCCCGAGGCUCAACCUCGGAACUGCCUUCGAUACUGCGGGUCUCGAGUCCGGGAGAGGUGAGUGGAAUUCCUAGUGUAGAGGUGAAAUUCGUAGAUAUUAGGAAGAACACCAGUGGCGAAGGCGGCUCACUGGCCCGGUACUGACGCUGAGGCGCGAAAGCGUGGGGAGCAAACAGG